UACGUAGGGUGCAAGCGUUGUCCGGAAUUAUUGGGCGUAAAGAGCUCGUGGGCGGUCUGUCGCGUCGGCUGUGAAAUCCCGAGGCUCAACCUCGGGUCUGCAGUCGAUACGGGCAAACUGGAGUGUUGCAGGGGAGACUGGAAUUCCUGGUGUAGCGGUGAAAUGCGCAGAUAUCAGGAGGAACACCGGUGGCGAAGGCGGGUCUCUGGGCAACAACUGACGCUGAGGAGCGAAAGCGUGGGGAGCGAACAGG
rnacentral:rRNA from 1 species